UCUGUAUGAUAGUUAUAUAAAGUCUGGCCUGCCCAUUGGGAACUAAAAGGCCGCGGUAUUAUGACCGUGCGAAGGUAGCAUAAUCAUUAGUCUUUUAAUUGGAGGCUGGGAUGAAUGGUCGGACGAGAAGUGAGCUGUCUUUAUCUCAAAAGUUGAAUUUAACUUUUAAGUGAAAAGGCUUAAAUGAGUUAGAGGGACGAUAAGACCCUAUAAAGUUUGAACACCGGGUUUGUUAAGAGUGAUUUAGAAUAGUAAAGUUUGUUACUAGUAAAGUGUUUGGUUGGGGCGACUAGAAUAUAAGUUAUAUAACUGUUUUUUAUUUGAAUCAGAGAUAUCUGUUUAUAUGAUCCCUUUUUAGGAUUAAAGAGUAAAUUACUUUAGGGAUAACAGCGUAAUUUUUUUUGAGAGUUCUUAUCGACAAAAGAGUUUGCGACCUCGAUGUUGAAUUAAAAUUUCUUUGUGGUGUAGCAGUUACAAAAGAAGGUCUGUUCGACCU
rnacentral:rRNA from 1 species